rnacentral:ncRNA from 1 species
GUCGGCGUCGUCAUACUUCAGUCGACUGCGGUGCCGGUCACCACGGAACUGACCGGCCGCACGAGCGCAUUUCUCGAUGCACAGGUCCGCGCGCGCGUCGAUGGCAUCGUGCUGCGCCGCGAGUUCACCGAAGGCAGCAUCGUGAAGCAGGGGCCGCGGCUCUACAAGAUCGA